AAUUGGAAAGAAUGAUGAUUCAAUUAGAUGUGUGAAAAGGAGAACAAAAACUCCUUUCAUGAACUCAAAACAUUUAAGGCAUUUGAAUUGUCUGUAUGUGUUUCAGGUC